GAACUAUGUUGGGGAACUUUGAAAGUUCCCGGAAAGAUUUUUUCUUGUAGUUUU
rnacentral:tRNA from 1 species